rnacentral:rRNA from 1 species
AGAGUUUGAUCAUGGCUCAGGAUGAACGCUAGCGGCAGGCCUAAUACAUGCAAGUCGAACGGUAAACCGCCCCGUUCGGGGGCGUGAGAGUGGCGGACGGGUGCGUAACGCGUAUGCAACCCACCCCCGACGGGCGCACAGCCGGUGGAAACGCCGGGUAAUGCGCCAUGCGCACCAUGCGGGGCAUCCCGGGUGGUGCAAGGCGGCGACGCGGUCGGGGACGGGCAUGCGUCCCAUUAGAUAGUUGGCGGGGCGACGGCCCACCAAGUCGACGAUGGGUAGGGGAUCUGAGAGGACGGUCCCCCACACUGGUACUGAGACACGGACCAGACUCCUGCGGGAGGCAGCAGUAAGGGAUAUUGGUCAAUGGGCGGAAGCCUGAAAACCCAGCCAUGCCGCGUGAGGUAAGAAGGCCCUACGGGUCGUAAGCCUCUUUUACCCGGGGACAAGGGCGCGGUCGAGAACCGUGCUUGAGGGUACCGGGGGAAUAAGCGUCGGCUAACCCCGUGCCAGCCGCUGC